rnacentral:rRNA from 1 species
UACGGAGGGUGCAAGCGUUAUCCGGAUUCACUGGGUUUAAAGGGUGCGUAGGCGGUCAGAUAAGUCAGUUGUGAAAUACCCCGGCUUAACCGGCGGAACUGCGAUUGAUACUGUUUGACUUGAAUCAGGUUGAGGUAGGCGGAAUGUGGCAUGUAGCGGUGAAAUGCUUAGAUAUGCCAUAGAACACCGAUUGCGAAGGCAGCUUGCUGGACCUGUAUUGACGCUGAGGCACGAAAGCGUGGGGAGCAAACAGG